rnacentral:misc_RNA from 1 species
AAAGUCGUAACAAGGUUUCCGUAGGUGAACCUGCGGAAGGAUCAUUAUUGAAUGAACUUGGCGUGGUUGUUGCUGGUCCUCUCGGGGGCAUGUGCACACCCGUCAUCUUUAUCUUUCCACCUGUGCACGUUUUGUAGGUCCAAAAAUUUUUUCCGAGGCAACUCGUUUGGGGGACUGGCGUUCGUUACUGUCGUCUUUCCCUGGAUUUUAGGCCUAUGUUUUCACAUACACCAUAAGAAUGUAAUAGAAUGUUAUCAAUGGGCUUUAUUGCCUAUAAACUAUAUACAACUUUCAGCAACGGAUCUCUUGGCUCUC